GAUGCAGUUAAAUAAAAUACAGCGCCCGAGAAACUAGUGAAAAGCGGGGCUAGAUCUGGAACGAUAUUCCAAGCCCCAGGGCUUGCCGUGAAGAUCCAGUUCUCGCCGCAGAGCCUGAAACUGACCGUGCUUAGAUCUUGUGGGGCAGUGUGAAUAAGGGAGCUCCCUUCCCCGUAGAUAGGGGACCGCAUGAGGCGAGCUCUCCGCUCGAGUCUAAUAACUUUGGAAUAAUCGCACGGCCAAUAAAAGAAGUGGCAGAAAUGGACGGUGUUACUUAAAUAAACAAGGGUCUCUUUAAAAUUCUCAUCCACUUCAGAUGUCUAAAGUAAGAUUGUGAUGAUUUUGUCACGGUUUGGUAAAUUUACCCCUUUAAGAGGCUUUCAUAAAUCCCAGAACACACCUUCAGCCAGAUUUGAAUAUAGAUUUAGGUUUUAAAACCCAGAAGCUGGGAACACCGCUUUAUCAAAGAGAAUUUCCCUUUAGCUUAGCAAUGUGCUGGAAUGGCUCUUGCAAAGAUUGGAUCUGAAAGGGGGGAAAAAAAGGGGGGAACCUUCUUUCUGGAGGAAUUCUGCACAGACUUUGCAGCAGCUUCUGGCUUCAGUUUUCCUGCAGCUAAUGGGAAAGUUGCAAAAACUGGUUCUCCAGCUGUAAGAACUUGCGUUUUCUUUCUUUCUUUUUUUUUUUUAAACUUUCCAAUCUCUUCUUUUCCAUUUGGAAACCAUUUCAGACCAGGUGCAGCCCCAGAAACCCAGUCUAGCUCGGGAUAAAGUGAUAGUGAGUGGACCCUGCGUCUUGAUCUAUAAGAACUUGUGUCCUCUGAGAACCAAAACUCUACUUCUGGGAUGAAAAACGCUCUCACUUCUGAUUUGAAAAAAUGGAAAGCCCUCCAGUUCCAGGACCCGUUAACUCUGCUGCAUAACCACGAUUGAUGGAGAAGAAGCGGCCUAUGUUCCAGUGUUACAAGAGUUAAAAAACAACAACAUAACUUUCGGAAAGGGCUCAGAAAGCGAGAGGAUGAACAUAUUACGUGCACACAUAGUUUCUUUCGUGCCACCCUUAGGUGACAGGUCUAGCUCUCAUUCUAGACAAACCAAAUUCCUUAUUCUAGCCAUUUGCUGUAACGCCAUUGGGAUAAAGUGCUCUGUCUUUGCAUCUUUAGGAGAGGAUCUUUCAGCCUACGGAAGAGUUCAACAGCCAGGGUCCUUUUAGUGCUUUCUGUACCCAGGACACCUGACCCACCCAAAAAGGACAUCCACAGCCUUACACGAGGAGGUUAAUAUCAUGCUAAAGAAUCCGACAGGGGGAAGGAAAGGAGGAAGGGGUUGCCAUGGAAUAAUGCAUAAUCUGACAUUCCAUGACCACCACAAAGGACAGGGUUCCAUGGAAGGUUCAUGAUCAGCCCUUGUAGUUGCAAAGCACAAGAGGCCCCACGUGCAUCUGUAGGGCAGCUGCCACCGAGGCUCAUUUUGGGAAGACUGACCUCCAAAUUAACAGUUAAAAACUGGCUUCUGCUUAUGAACAAUCCCCUCCUGGUGAAAUUAGACUGGGACAGCGGUGCAUGUCUGAUGUAGCAAGCACUCAGAGAGGUUAAAUAACCUAUUAGCAGUCCAGCCUAAGGGAUGUCUCCUUUAGCUCAUGUUAGCAAGGCCUAUGUUGCUGAAGCUGAAGGACUAGUGUUCUGCUCCUGCACAGAGGCAAGGCUGGGGGUGAUUUGUCUAGUCAUUAUGGCUGUUGCCUGCAAUGGCUGGAUUUAUUACAGAACACAUCAACUCCAUCAGCGGACAACGUGGGAAGAAAUAGAAGUCACUCCAAUCCCUGCUUGGUAGGCAAAUAUAGGAAUAUGUUGUCUAAAGAAGCUCAACCAAUUUCAGAGAAGUUUCUUGUGUGUACGCACGCAUGUGUGCAUAGGUUUUGUGGAGUAGCUGUUGUGCAAGGAUGUGGUGCAUGUAUUCACGCGCACACUACUUUUAAGGGUGGAUGAACCCUCAGGAGGUUCAUAAUAUGGGUUAGGGUUGGAUAAAUAUCCUAAAUUUGGAUGCUCACUCAAGGUCUAUCCUAACUACAUGAAUCCACUGAGUUUGCAAGAUUGGGUUGCAAGUCUUCCCAAACAGGUUGUCUCAUGAGAUUUCUGUUUCUUGGUCCAACUUCUGCUUUUGAUACCAGCAAAUUUCCUCUCUUUUGUCAUUUUGAUCCUUCCAGGCGAAGUUAAAAAAAUGAUCUAAAAUUAUUAGAACCUUAAAGAAAGGUUUGGUUUGAAUGUGGGUCCACAUUUGAAUUGAUGCAUCCAUUGUUGUCAUUAAGAACGGCACCAUCACAGUAGUGCCUAGAGAGCCCACCCAAUAUCAGGCACCAGGAGUAUACGUAGUAAAGGAAACAGUCCUUGCCCCAAAUAGCUUGCCAAGUAAGCUGUCUAGACACAAAGAGUGGGAGAGAAGAAGGAUUAUUAUCCCUAUUUUACAUAUGGGAAAUGGACAGAUUAAAUAAUUAGCCCUAGGUCACACAGGAAGGUUGUAACAGAGCCAUAAAAUGAAUCCAGAUCUCUCAAGCCCCUGUCUUGUACCUUAAUCAUGCCUCCUCAGCACACAAGCCUUUCCCCCUACUUAGUUUCAGGAGAAUAUCUAAUGAGUGGUAUGAAAAGUAAAAACAUUAAAUAACAAAUGUUCCACUUGACCAAAAGGGCAAACUGUCUGUGAUUAAAACACUUGGUUAUUUCAAGGCUGGGGAAUAGCACAUAACCAUUAUAUCUAAAUAGCCACAUUUCCGAGUGCCUUGGCUGUUUAAGAGCAUCACUUCAUAGGUCCUUAGGGUGCAUGGAGAAUUUAGCUUCUCUAAGAGGUUCUCACACCCUCCAAACAAUUGAACAGCCAAUAGACACAGGAGCCCUUGCAGCUGGAGAAAAGAAGUGUGGGGACAUACAUUUUCCUUUUUCCCCGCUGUAAAAUAUACGCAUGCAAUGGCCUGUGAGAAUUUGAUGAAAAACCAAGAUACUGCACUGCUGCAUUUGAAGAGUAUUUGUGCUGGUUUUCCUCGUUUUAUUCAAAAACAAAAGAAGCCAACGAACAGCUAGAGCAUACUGAUUUGGAUCCAUACGCUGAACAUGCUUUUUCCUCUCCCUUUUUGUCCUGGAUAUAUCCUAGUGUUGGACCGGAUGAACAUGGCAGUAGCCAGAACUCAGCAAGAUUCUCCACCUAGCUUUACCUAAAUCCUGACCUGAACGUCUUUCCCGUUCGACUCCAGGGAAUCAUCUGAGCAGAGACUGAAAACCAUGCUGACUUAUUCAGCAUUGUGUUGAUUGUGAGAUGUGAAUAUGUGUUCACUGUGGACCAGGAAGAUAUCGAGUUCUAUUCACUUACCAGAUUUGAGGAUUCGGGUGAUGAGAGGUUACUGUACCAAUUUACUAUUCCAGCUCUUUAGCAGAUUUCUAAGUCAUCCUCCAGUGGUGUAUGACCAGGCACUAAAUGAUGAAGUCCAGUACGCAAACAAAUAAUCUUGUCAUUAGAGAAAGGUGAAUAUCAAAAGUUUGGAGGAUCAUUUCCAACUAGGACAAGUCCCCUGAAGUUCAGAUACCUUUCAGCCCUGACAGAGGCCUCUGACCACAACUGCCAUGGAAGGCUAAGCUUUCCAACAGUUCUUCCAGCUUCCAGUUAGGCCUGAGAUUCCUUGGAAACAACCUUUCUCCAUUUGUGACCCAUCACACACCCUGCAAUGUUGUCUUCUAAUGAUUAAAUGCCUUUUUCAAUUCAA